rnacentral:misc_RNA from 1 species
GUAGGUGAACCUGCGGAAGGAUCAUUAUCGAAUCCUACCAGGGAGGGGAGGGAAGACGGAUGGAGGAGUCAAGGCUGUCGCCGGCAACGUGCACGCCCCUUUCUCUUUCGUGGAACCUCCCCUUUCUAGUUUCCUUAUCCACCUGUGCACCCUUUGUAGGCCCUCGAAAGAGGAUCUACGUUUUCUCUAUAUACGCUUUUUGCUA